rnacentral:hammerhead_ribozyme from 1 species
GCACUGCUGAGGAGUCUGAAACUAGGACGAAACGGCCGUCCAGUGC